UACGUAGGGGGCGAGCGUUGUCCGGAUUCAUUGGGCGUAAAGCGCGCGCAGGCGGCUGGGAGAGCCCGGCGUGAAAGCCCCCAGCUCAACUGGGGGAGGCCGUCGGGGACCUUCCGACUGGAGGCCGGUAGGGGCGAGCGGAAUUCCCGGUGUAGUGGUGGAAUGCGUAGAUAUCGGGAGGAACACCAGUGGCGAAGGCGGCUCGCUGGACCGGUCCUGACGCUCAGGCGCGAAAGCGUGGGGAGCGAUCCGG
rnacentral:rRNA from 1 species